rfam:Euryarchaeota archaeon TMED103 5264, whole genome shotgun sequence.
AUCGAGGUGGCUGAGGUGGUCAAAGGCGCCGGGCUUAAGAUCCGGUCCCAGAUGGGUUCGAGGGUUCAAAUCCCUCCCUCGAUA